rnacentral:rRNA from 1 species
AGCGAACGCUGGCGGCAGGCUUAACACAUGCAAGUCGAGCGGGCGUAGCAAUACGUCAGCGGCAGACGGGUGAGUAACGCGUGGGAACGUACCUUUUGGUUCGGAACAACACAGGGAAACUUGUGCUAAUACCGAAUAAGCCCUUACGGGGAAAGAUUUAUCGCCGAAAGAUCGGCCCGCGUCUGAUCAGCUAGUUGGUG